CUCCCUCUCUGCGCAGUGCCUCUCCAGCAAAGUGGAAGGGGCUCUGUUUCUCCUCCUGCUUUGCUGAAGGGGUGCUGCGCAGAGAGGGA